rnacentral:rRNA from 1 species
AGAUUGAACGCUGGCGGCAUGCCUUACACAUGCAAGUCGAACGGCAGCACGGGAGCAAUCCUGGUGGCGAGUGGCGAACGGGUGAGUAAUAUAUCGGAACGUGCCCAGUCGUGGGGGAUAACGUAGAGAAAUUUACGCUAAUACCGCAUACGAUCCAAGGAUGAAAGCGGGGGACCGUAAGGCCUCGCGCGACUGGAGCGGCUGAUAUCAGAUUAGCUUGGUUGGUGAGGUAAAAGCUCACCAAGGCGACGAUCUGUAGCUGGUUUGAGAGAACGACCAGCCACGCUGGGACUGAGACACGGCCCAGACU